UACUAUGUCAGGGGUAGACCUGUACCGUCAUACACUGCGUUUAUCAGAGAAGACCAGACAGAAGAAAUUUUACCACCCACAGCCUAUCAAAUGCAUGAUAACCCAAAGCCGUGCCAUUUUACGUAAAUUACGUAGACAUCAAGCAUGUGCUAAAGUAAGAUAAGAUAUGUUUUUAAAUGUUUAAAGUCACCUUCACCAUUACUAGAGCAAUAUGCCUCCAUCAUCAGACCACAACUUUUUACAGAACUAAUUAAAUCCAGUAAUAUCACAAAAGUUGGAGAUUUCCUGACAGAAUUCAAGGAGCAGAUAAUUACGAGGGCUACUCGGGUCAGUGACAUUGCUGAGGCUGUUGUCUCCCAAAGUCUGAUCCAUGAAGCAGCAGCUCAACAAGUACAGGCUGCUCCAACCCAGCAGGAGGCAAUGCGGCUCCUGUUUGAGGCUUUGGAAAGAGAGCCACCCCUAAACAGAGUGUCCUU
ensembl:lncRNA